rnacentral:rRNA from 1 species
UGCCAGCAGCCGCGGUAAUACAUAUGUGGCGAGCGUUGUUCGGAAUCACUGGGCAUAAAGAGUUCGUAGGCGGUUUUAUUAGUUGGGUGUGAAAUCCUCCGGCUUACGCGGAGAACUGCAUCCAAUACUGUAAAACUGGAGUUAUUGAGGGGAAAGUGGAAUUCCAUGUGUAGCGGUGAAAUGCGUAGAUAUAUGGGAGAACGCCAAUGGCGAAGGCAGCUUUCUGGCGAAUGACUGACGCUGAGGAACGAAAGUUAGGGUAUCGAACAGGAUUAGAUA